GUGAUAACUUCACACACACACAAGCAUCAAUAAAGAAUUGAAUGUCAUCUGGUUCAAGAGUAUCCAAAGGGCAAAUAUAAGAGAUUGCUCCUCAAACAAAAAUAAACUGUUAUUGACAGACCCACCAAUACAUGUCAGCAAUACAUCUUGCAAACACAGCACCAGGUUUACAAGUUGAACAGGAACCUUUCUUAUCCCACCUCCCUAACUACACGACUUAUCAACCAUGACAAGAAGAACAAGGGUUGGGACAACCGAGCCACACUCCAGGAUGCCUAUUGAAAUGACUCGAAUCAUAACAGUCACUUUUUUUCGAAUCAAAGCACUCACUUCUGUGUCUGAACAGAGUUCGGGACCCUUCUCUAUAUCCCAGUAAUCUUCAGCUCAGGCUGCAAGUACUACGAUCACAAUGAGGAGCACGAUUCCGAAAAUCACCAGGAGUAAGCAAGUCAGAGAUGAAUUUGAUCUUUGGGUCUUUGCAGCUUUAGCAAGUUGUGUUCUCCCUUGUGCAGUUGCAGCAUGAGAGUUCUCAAUGUUGGAACCAAUAUCAUCAAUCAUGGUUCCUUGCUCGUGAACAAGCACGGCAAGAUCCUUGAAGAUCUCAUUAACUUCACCUAUUUGUUGUUGUACUUCUUGUAUUCCCUGUUCUCGUUCCUCUAUGAUUGCUUCAUUAAAGGAAAUCUCAUUGUCCAAAAGCAAAACCUCUUGCCUUCUAGAUUCCACAAGGAGAGCUCGCUGU
rnacentral:misc_RNA from 1 species